rnacentral:rRNA from 1 species
UACGGGAGGCAGCAGUAGGGAAUUUUCGGCAAUGGGGGAAACCCUGACCGAGCAACGCCGCGUGAAGGAAGAAGUAAUUCGUUAUGUAAACUUCUGUCAUAGAGGAAGAACGGUGGAUAUAGGGAAUGAUAUCCAAGUGACGGUACUCUAUAAGAAAGCCACGGCUAACUACGUGCCAGCAGCCGCGGUAAUACGUAGGUGGCGAGCGUUAUCCGGAAUUAUUGGGCGUAAAGAGGGAGCAGGCGGCACUAAGGGUCUGUGGUGAAAGAUCGAAGCUUAACUUCGGUAAGCCAUGGAAACCGUAGAGCUAGAGUGUGUGAGAGGAUCGUGGAAUUCCAUGUGUAGCGGUGAAAUGCGUAGAUAUAUGGAGGAACACCAGUGGCGAAGGCGACGAUCUGGCGCAUAACUGACGCUCAGUCCCGAAAGCGUGGGGAGCAAAUAGGAUUAGAUACCCUAGUAGUCCACGCCGUAAACGAUGAGUACUAAGUGUUGGGGGUCAAAGCUCAGUGCUGCAGUUAACGCAAUAAGUACUCCGCCUGAGUAGUACGUUCGCAAGAAUGAAACUCAAAG